rnacentral:rRNA from 1 species
GACGAACGCUGGCGGCGUGCUUAACACAUGCAAGUCGAACGGAAAGGCCCUGCUUGCAGGGUACUCGAGUGGCGAACGGGUGAGUAACACGUGGGUGAUCUGCCCUGCACUUCGGGAUAAGCCUGGGAAACUGGGUCUAAUACCGGAUAGGAGCCAUUUUUAGUGUGAUGGUUGGAAAGUUUUUUCGGUGUAGGAUGAGCUCGCGGCCUAUCUGCUUGUUGGUGGGGUAAUGGCCUACCAAGGCGGCGACGGGUAGCCGGCCUGAGAGGGUGGACGGCCACCUCGGGACUGAGAUACGGCCCAGCCUCCUACGGGAGGCAGCAGUGGCGAAUAUUGCACAAUGGGAGCCAGCCUGAUGCAGCGACGCCGCGUGGGGGAUGACGGCCUUCGGGUUGUAACCUCCUUUCGCUAGGGACGAAGCUUUUUGUGACGGUACCUAGAUAAGAAGCCCCGGCUAACUACGUG